GUGGGGAAUCUUGCGCAAUGGGCGAAAGCCUGACGCAGCCAUGCCGCGUGAAUGAUGAAGGUCUUAGGAUUGUAAAAUUCUUUCACCGGGGACGAUAAUGACGGUACCCGGAGAAGUAGCCCCGGCUAACUUCGUGCCAGCAGCCGCGGUAAUACGAAGGGGGCUAGCGUUGCUCGGAAUUACUGGGCGCAAAGGGCGCGUAGGCGGACAGCUUAGUCAGAGGUGAAAGCCCAGGGCUCAACCAUGGAAUUGCCUAUGAUACUGGCUGUCUUGAUGUUGGAAGAGGAGAGUGGAACGCCGAGUGUAGAGGUGAAAUUCGUAGAUAUUCGGAAGAACACCAGUGGCGAAGGCGACUCACUGGCCCAAUACUGACGCUGAGGCGCGAAAGCGUGGGGAGCAAACAGGAUUAGAUACCCCGGUAGUCC
rnacentral:rRNA from 1 species